rnacentral:rRNA from 1 species
AGAAUCAACGCUGGCGGCGUGCCUAACACAUGCAAGUCGAACGCGAGAGUCCCGCAAGGGACAAUUGAGUGGCAAACGGGUGAGUAACACGUGGGUGACCUGCCUUCGAGUGGGGGAUAACGUUCCGAAAGGAACGCUAAUACCGCAUGACAUCCUGCUCUUGGAAGAGCGGAGAUCAAAGCUGGGGAUCGCAAGACCUGGCGCUUGAAGAGGGGCCCGCGCCUGAUUAGCUAGUUGGUGGGGUAACGGCCUACCAAGGCGACGAUCAGUA